rnacentral:rRNA from 1 species
AUGCGUUUCGCCAUGUCGCCCGACAGCCUCCUCCUCUUCUACGCCGCCGCGGCGGCCGUCACCGCCGCCUUCGGCCUCUUCUCGCUGUACAAGCACCUCGUGCGCCAACGGCGGCACCACCCCAGCGCGGACGCACCGGACGGGGACAUGGAGGAGCGCCGGCCGCUCGCGGUGACCACGGUGGCGUCCAGCAUUCUCCCGCCGUUCAUGUACAACCGGCUCGUCCGGCACAGCGGCAAGGGCGACGACGCGGGCUCGACGGAGUGCGCGGUCUGCCUCGGCGCCAUCCGGGUCGGCGCCAUGGCCAAGCUGCUGCCGGCGUGCGCCCACGUGUACCACGUCGAGUGCAUCGACCUGUGGCUCGCCGCGCACUCGACGUGCCCUCUCUGCCGGUGCACGGUCGGCGGUGAUCGCUCGGCUCAGGACCUUGCUUGCCUCUCACCUGCAUAG